AAAGGAGUUUCUGUUGUAGUUGUCAUAACGUAAGCUUUGUCAAAUCAGCAUGUCUAAAGCCUUAAGUGUCCUUCUGCUGGGAUUACUAUGCACAUUUGCCGCUGGACUGAUACUUCCACCGCACCCUGGAAGAUGUCCAAGAUUACCCAGUGACGUGUUCACCACUUGUCUGGUGACCUGUGAAACUGACAGGGAUUGCCCGUUCUACCAGAAGUGCUGCAACAAUGGUUGUGGUAGAGACUGCGUUGUACCAAUUCAUGGCCGAGGCUAUUAUUAAUGAAAACCAAUACUUUACCUGAAAAUUGUCAAAAUAAAUUUUAUGUGAUUUGAACAACUUUA